AGAAUCAACGCUGGCGGCGUGCCUAACACAUGCAAGUCGCACGAGAAAGGGGAGCAAUCCCUGAGUACAGUGGCGCACGGGUGAGUAACACGUGAAUCAUCUACCUCCGAGUGGGGAAUAACUGAGAGAAAUCUUAGCUAAUACCGCAUAACACUUACGAGUCAAAGCAGCAAUGCGCUUGGAGAGGAGUUCGCGGCAGAUUAGUUAGUUGGCAGGGUAAUGGCCUACCAAGACGAUGAUCUGUAUCCGGCCUGAGAGGGCGCACGGACACACUGGAACUGAAACACGGUCCAGACUCCUACGGGAGGCAGCAGUGGGGAAUUUUGCGCAAUGGGGGAAACCCUGACGCAGCAACGCCGCGUGGAGGAUGAAAUCCCUUGGGAUGUAAACUCCUUUCGAUAGGGAAGAUAAUGACGGUACCUAUAGAAGAAGCCCCGGCUAACUUCGUGCCAGCAGCCGCGGUAA
rnacentral:rRNA from 1 species